rnacentral:rRNA from 1 species
CUGCUGCCUUCCGUAGGAGUUUGGGCCGUGUCUCAGUCCCAAUGUGGCCGUUCACCCUCUCAGGCCGGCUACUGAUCGUCGCUUUGGUAGGCCGUUACCCUGCCAACUGGCUAAUCAGACGCGGGUCCAUCUCACACCGAUAAAUCUUUUCCAACCAGAGCAUGCGCCCCUGUUGGCUUAUGCGGUAUUAGCGGUCGUUUCCAACUGUUAUCCCCCUGUGUGAGGCAGGUUACCCACGCGUUACUCACCCGUCCGCCA